UUAAAAAAGCCAAUAAAAAUCCAAAAAAGAGCAAGUCUCGAGGAAAGGGGACCAAAGUGUCCAAACCCAAAAAGUUCAGUCCCGUUGCAUAUGCAAAGUUGUGGGAGACCAGACUGAUAUCAGCACAAGACUCUCGUUCACAUUUCAUAAAGCUCAAUUCAGAACUAAUAAAAGAAAAUGAAAUAUUGAAACAAAAGUUCGAGUCUUCCACUCAAGACCUUUCGGGUGUGGUAGGGUACUUUCAAGAACACCAAACAGAAAAUAACAUUCGUGUAGUUUUACAUAAUAAGCCAAGAUCAAACAACUCGAACAGCAAAUUGCAGAACUGACCGUCGCGCAUCAACAAAAAACGGAAAAAAUUAAGGCGGAGGCCUAUGAGGAGGUCGAAUGUCUAAGGCGACGUGCAGACGUCUCUGAAAAAGAAUUCGAACGGGUCCGCGACGAAUUGAAUUCUUUAAACGAAUUUUAUACAAUGCGAGAAAAAAUUGUGCUCGAAAUGGAAUCGGUAACCCAGUCAUCUUAAAUCUAGAUCAAAGAGGGAGCCGAACGGACAGUGACUGAGCAUCGUCUCGAAGUCAAACAUUUAAAGCGGGACCACCAGAAUGAAUUAGUUUAAUAAAUAAUAAUUAAAAAAGUCAAAAAUAAAGGAAUACAUGUUGAGGGAAAUAGAAAAAAUCAAGAUGAGUGCUCUGGACGAGGC